rnacentral:piRNA from 1 species
UGAUCACUGAGAGUGCCUUGAGGUGAUA